rnacentral:rRNA from 1 species
AUGCAACGAUUACUUGCCACGAAGGUCAACAGCCUGAUCAGCAAAGGGCAAAUCUGGCGCCUGGUCACACCAGCUCUUCUUCAUGGACCUCUUUAUCACAUUACUUUAAAUACUCUCUCUUUGGCUAGCAUCGGGCCUAUGGUGGAAGAGGUUGUUGGCCCUAGAAGAUUUCUAGCCAUUUAUUUCACUUCCGCACUAUCAGGUUCACUGAUGAGUUACUGGUUUAACUCCGCACAUAGUGUUGGUGCAUCUGGUGCUAUCUUUGGACUGGUUGGUGCCCAGGCUGUUUAUCUGUGGAGGCACCAAGAGCUUUUUGGAAAUGCAAAGGAAAAAUUUGAGAAUAUUAGAUUUGUGAUUUUAUUAAAUCUGGGCAUCGGCCUUCUUUGGCGCCGCAUCGACAAUUGGGCACAUCUGGGAGGGUUGCUUGGGGGAGCAGCGGUCGAAUGGUUCUACGGUCCAGAUUGGAAAGGGCGCCCGUUGUUUGGCCAAUGA